AGAUGUCAUGAAGAAAAAAAGUGUAGGGACGGGUGGCCUUAUCUUUGUCGUCCUCUUUCGCCAUACCCAGUCCCCUGUCGAAGGGAAUAACUCCGAGCACUUUGGUGGUUUUCGGAAGAACGCCGAUCCUUCUUGGUUCUUCGACGUAACGUAGAUUCUGUAAGGAUCGAAUUCAACGCUAUUUAGAGCAGAAGUAAGAAAUUGGAACAGAAUUUAAGAUCUGUGAUAAUUUUGCAGUACGAUUAAUUUGCAUAAAUUGAUCUGCACGUCAGAGAACCUCGGAUCUUAGCGUUUGUAUCGUGCAUCACUGGCCCCGGAAGUGUCCUUGCUUUCAGGCAGAAAUUUGAUUGCUUUUCCCUUGACAAGAGGUGGAAAAGUAGCAGAGACCCUUCAAGCUACCCACAGAUUAUUUUGAUUAACUUUGAUUCCGUCUAAGAAUGGAAUAGAAUAGUAUA